rnacentral:rRNA from 1 species
AUUGAACGCUGGCGGCAGGCCUAACACAUGCAAGUCGAGCGAGCGGCGGACGGGUGAGUAAUGUAUGGGAAUCUGCCCGAUAGAGGGGGAUAACUACUGGAAACGGUGGCUAAUACCGCAUACUAUCAGAUGAACCCCGAUGGGAUUAGCUAGUUGGUGGGGUAACGGCUAACCAAGGCGACGAUCUCUAGCUGGUCUGAGAGGAUGACCAGCCACACUGGAACUGAGACACGGCCCAGACUCCUACGGGAGGCAGCAGUGGGGAAUAUUGCACAAUGGGCGCAAGCCUGAUGCAGCCCUGCCGCGUGUAUGAAGAAGGCCUUAGGGUUGUAAAGUACUUUCAGCGGGGAGGCGUUACCCGCAGAAGAAGCACCGGCUAACUCCGUGCCAGCAGCCGCGGUAAUUC